rnacentral:rRNA from 1 species
UACAGAGGGUGCAAGCGUUGUUCGGAAUUAUUGGGCGUAAAGGGCUCGUAGGCGGUCUGUUGCGUCGGCAGUGAAAACUCAGGGCUUAACCCUGAGCCUGCUUCCGAUACGGGCAGACUAGAGGUAUGCAGGGGAGAACGGAAUUCCUGGUGUAGCGGUGAAAUGCGCAGAUAUCAGGAGGAACACCUGUGGCGAAAGCGGCUCACUGGACCAUAACUGACGCUGAUGCACGAAAGCUAGGGGAGCAAACAGG